rnacentral:lncRNA from 1 species
AUUAAGAAAGGUAUUGUCGGUGACAUCAUCGAUAGGGCAUUUCUAUGUAGAUGAGGUAGCACAGGGCUGCUUCUUCACCAUGGAGGAUUUCCCGUGCUGUAGGAGCAAGUCCAGGACUGCUGGGUGGACGUGAGAGUCCCAGCUGUGUGUUAGGGCUAGGAGGGCUCAGGGUGGUUAGUGUGUGUAAAAGCCAAGCCUUGUCUUUGUUCAGGGCUCAGCCUUUGGAUUUUAAUAUGCUGGGCCUGAGUACACUCAAUAAAGUCCUCCUGUUCCACCCAUUGGUCUCUCUGUUCUCCUGAUUCCCACAACAGUAGUAGGGGACUGUGUUCGCACUUUCCCCUGGUCCUUCAUGGUAUGAAUAAUAGACAGCCUUUUUUUCUUCACCUAUAGUCACAGGC